rnacentral:rRNA from 1 species
ACUUUUAACAAUGGAUCUCUAGACUCUCAUAUCGAUGGAGAACACAGUGAAAUGUGAUAAUUAAUGUGAAUUGCAGAAUUCAGUGAAUCAUCAAGUUUUUGAACGCACCUUGCACCUUUUGGUGUUCCAAAAGGUACACCUGUUUGAGUGUCA